GAUGAACGCUAGCGGCAGGCUUAACACAUGCAAGUCGAGGGGCAGCGCGGGAUCGCACUCUCCUGGCGGCGACCGGCGGAAGGGUGCGUAACGCGUGAGCGACAUGCCCGUUGCCCGGGGACAACCGGUGGAAACGCCGACUAAUCCCCGAUGGGAUACGAUGCUUCAUGGCAUUGUAUUGAAAGUUACGGCGGCGACGGAUUGGCUCGCGUCCGAUUAGCUGGUUGGCGGGGUAACGGCCCACCAAGGCUGCGAUCGGUAGGGGUUCUGAGAGGAAGGCCCCCCACAAUGGGACUGAGACACGGCCCAUACUCCUACGGGAGGCAGCAGUGAGGAAUAUUGGUCAAUGGGCGGAAGCCUGAACCAGCCAUGCCGCGUGCGGGAAGGAGGCCCUAUGGGCUGUGAACCGCUUUUGCCUGGGGGCAAUAAGGGCGUCGCGCACGUCCGAUGAGAGUACCAGGCGAAUAAGCAUCGGCUAACUCCGUG
rnacentral:rRNA from 1 species